AUUGGACGGACACACACACUGGACACAUACACACACACACUGGACACAAACACAUUGGAUACCCACACACACUGGACACACAAACCCUGGACACACACACACUGGACACACACUGGACACACACCAGUGGAUGCUAGGCAGUUUCUGUAUCACAGCUUCUAUCCCAGUUCUAUCUGCCUGUUAAAUCAGUUUCUGGACCACAGGUUCUAGAACAGCUUCUAUCCCAGUUCUAUCUGCCUGUUAAAUCAGUUUCUGGACCACAGGUUCUAGAACAGCUUCUAUCCCAGUUCUAUCUGCCUGUUAAAUCAGUUUCUGGACCACAGGUUCUAGAACAGCUUCUAUCCCAGUUCUAUCUGCCUGUUAAAUCAGUUUCUGGACCACAGGUUCUAGAACAGCUUCUAUCCCAGUUCUAUCUGCCUGUUAAAUCAUCAACCUAAACUGUUUUCAUCAGACUAUUAGAACAUGACUGAACCUUUUGGUUCCUUUUCUGAUCUUUUACCACUUUGCAUUUUUUAUGAUAUAUUUUACUG